rnacentral:rRNA from 1 species
UCAGCAGUCAAAGAAUAUUAGUCAAUGCUCGCAAGAGUGAACUAGCUAACUGAAAUCAAAGGUGUGUCACUUUUGAUAAGGUAAAGGAAAAUAAAUGAUAUUACUUUACUAUUAGUGUCGUCCAAGUACUCGUGCCAGAAGACUCGGUAAGGCGAGAGACGCAAACGUUAGUCGUCCUGAUCAGGCGUAAAGGGUUUGUAGGCGGCUUUAAGUAUGGAUUCCUUCUAAAUAACAUUACUCUAUUUUUAGGGUAACGAGUCCUCCCUUAUGGGCCAGGAGCAGAAGGGAAAAAUCAAUUAAAGCUAGAAUCAAAUAGAGGUCAAAUUAAAUAAUACUUGGUGUAAGAUUGGUAUCUUUAAAAACCAAGCGGAAUACUAACGGCGAAGGCUUUUUUCCAUUAAUGAUUGACGCUGAGAAACUAAGGUGAGGACAGAAAAAAGGAUUAGAGACCCUCGUAUUCCUCACUGUCAACGAUGAAUGGUAGUUACUAGAUGUCAAGAUAUGGUACUUAAAUAAAUAAGGAUAUAUCUAAAAAAUCUAGAGACGAUGUUAACACGAAAACCAUUCCGCCUUGUGAGUACGACUGCAAAGUUGAAAACAAAAAAAUUAGUCGGUUUCGGAGCAAACGAAGUGAAGCAUGUUAUUUAAUUCGAUAAUC